rnacentral:piRNA from 1 species
UUAUAUAUUUGUUUUGGGUAGGAAGAGA